UACGUAGGGUGCGAGCGUUAUUCGGAAUUACUGGGCGUAAAGCGUGCGCAGGCGGUUUCAUAAGCUUGAUGUGAAAGCCCCGGGCUUAACCUGGGAAUGGCAUUGAGGACUGUGGAGCUCGAGUGCGGCAGAGGGAGGUGGAAUUCCACGUGUAGCAGUGAAAUGCGUAGAGAUGUGGAGGAACACCGAUGGCGAAGGCAGCCUCCUGGGCCGACACUGACGCUCAUGCACGAAAGCGUGGGGAGCAAACAGG
rnacentral:rRNA from 1 species